CGAUCUCCUGACCUCGUGAUCCGCCCGCCUCAGCCUUCCAGAGUGCUGGGAUUACAGGCUUCAGCCACCGUGCCCAGCCUCACCCAGAUGGAGUUUCAAUCUGUCACCCAGGCUAGAGCACAGUGGCACAAUCUUGGCUCACUGCAACCUCUGUCUCCAGGAUUCAGAUGAAAAACCCAAGGUCCAGAAAGGGGACGCAAUGGCCAUAGCAGCAGCAGAGCAGGGACUGAAUCCCAAGGCUGAUGACUUUGACUUCGGUGCUCCAGCAUUCGUCUUCCCUGGAUUUCUCAGCUCGCAGGCUCGAUAACUCUCUUCUCUCCCCAGACUUGUUGGCAGGCAAGAGGAAUAACUCAUGUGAGUCAAAAGCAAUUUGCAAACAUAAAUAAUUUUCAAUGCCAGGAGAGGAGACGGUGGGAAGAUGCAUGGAAGGUUGAGAGGAACACAGCCAGCCCCAAGUCUCCCUCGCCCUGCUGGGCACUUCCUCUUUCCACCUCGGCGCUGGUGGGAGAGUCGGAGUGCGCCAUAAACAAGGCAGGAAACGGCUAUCAUGAUGCUCACUUCCGCUCUUCCUAGAAGGGAUUCUGCUCGGCAAUCUCUCCACUCCCCACCCCCUGCCAUGCACAGGAUUUUGUACUCCCAGCUCCUCUGGAGGCUCAGAGGAGGAGAUGGUCCUGCUGCACUGGCCCAGCCUUCCUCUACCUGGCUUGUCUUUUUCCUUGUCCUCAACCCCAAACAGCAAGUAUCCUAACAAAGAAUGGAUAGUACACUAUUAUUUUUGUGACAUUCAUCUCAGUGUCAUAUUCCAAAGGAGCUUGACAUUAAUUGUCCUGUUCCUAAUUUGGACACUGGUUUACGAAAGUGUGGUGACCACUGGAGACUGUUCUCUGACAGUGUAACAGGUAUUCGCCCCUUUCCCCAGGGUACUAAGACUCACGUGGCCCUGACAGCCAGCACAGUCUCUUAGGAGGUUCCGGAGGGUGGCAGUGGGAAUGAGCGUAGAGCCGUGUCAUUUCGGAGGGCUGAGUGCAUUCCACACAUCUUCCCAAAGCCCACCCCAAGAGGCUGUCUAACGCAGGGGGAAACAAUGAGAAACCAGAUACCAUGGAAUUAGCAAAGAAUUUCUCAGAUGAAACAGGAAAGGGAGGAAAUCCAGAGGGGUUUACAUUACACCUGGCUCAGGUUGAAAGGAUUCAGGGCCAGUUGUUGGCAAUAUUAAACUCCAGGCUGCGUUUGAAAGGGUCCUUCACUCGGGCAGCCAAAGAGAGGCGUUCCUGCCAGGAUAGGUUGCAUCGCUGCAGAUCUCCAGCCCUACGUGCAUACACACGUGCACACACACGUGUACACACACGUGCACACACAUGUAUGCACACACAUGUAUGCACACACAUGCAUGCACACACAUGUAUGCACACACAUGCAUGCACACACACGCACACACAUGCACACAUGCAUGCAUACAUGCACACACGCGCGCACACGUGUGCACGCACAUGCAUGCACACAGACACGCACACGCACACACAUGCAUGCACACACGCACACACAUGCACACACACGCACACACGCAUGCACACACACACAUGCAUGCACACACGUGCAUCUUGGAUAUCUCUUGUUAAUGUCAGCCCUCUGCCCCAAACUAGAUUUGAAAACUUGUAGGUAAUCAAGUUUUCUGGUUAAGAGAAAUAAUCCCAGCCAACAGUUAGUAAGCUCUUAUGUGUCAGGCCUUAUCCAAACAGUUCACACGAAGACCAGAUCCAAAAAUAAAAGUGUGCUUUGUCCUCUGUG